UACGGGGGGGGUAAGCGUUGUUCGGAAUUACUGGGCGUAAAGGGCUCGUAGGCGGCCAACUAAGUCAGACGUGAAAUCCCUCAGCUUAACUGGGGAACUGCGUCUGAUACUGGAUGGCUUGGAUUCGGGAGAGGAAUGCGGAAUUCCAGGUGUAGCGGUGAAAUGCGUAGAUAUCUGGAGGAACACCGGUGGCGAAGGCGGCAUCCUGGACCGGUAUUGACGCUGAUGAGCGAAAGCCAGGGGAGCAAACGGG
rnacentral:rRNA from 1 species